AGGUGUGCUGGAGUUUGCUGGAGGUCCACUACAGACCCUGUUUUCCUCGGUAUCACCAGCGGAGGCUGCAGAAAGCAAAGGUUGCUGCCUGCUUCUUCCUCUGGAAGCUUCGUCCCAGAGGGGCACCCACCAGAUGCCAGCCGGAGUUGUCCUGUAUGAGGUGUCUGUUGACCCCUGCUGGGAGGUGUCUCCCAGUCAGGAGGCACAGGGGUCAGGGACCCACUUGAGCAGGCAGUCUGUCCCUCAGCAGAGCUCAAGUGCUAUGUUGGGAGAUCCACUGCUCUUUUCAGAGCCAGCUGGCAAGAACGUUUAAGUCUGCUGAAGCUGCGCCCACGGCCGCCCCUUUCCCCAGUUGCCUGCCAUCUAGUGGAUGUAAUGCAGUCAAGUCAGCAAGUGCUUUCUUUCAAAGCAAUCAACGGUGCUUAUUGAGUCAUGCAAUAAUGUCAUUUGAAUAAAAACAAGGCCAGGAGCUUAUCCUACAGCACACCCCCAGAAUAAAACCAUCUCUGGUGAAGACUUAAAGGAACUAUGAAAAGACAAAAACCAGAUCAUUUUUGUGCUUGGCUAAUCAAAAACCAAUUCCUUUUAAAGCCAAGCACAUUAAAUAAAAAGGGAAUUGCUAUUUUUAUGCUGUCUUUGCAUGUUCUUGUGCUUAGUCUACAAAUAACUUUAUUUUGCUUCAAC
rnacentral:lncRNA from 10 species